GGUUCAGCAAAAUGCUCAUCAAUGUCCAGUACCAUGGAGAAAAAAGUACCUCAAACUGCAGCCUGGUUUUUCUUUUCAAAGUUUAAUUCGAGAAGGCACAUCAAUCCACUGGUGCAAAAGAAGAGAACACCUCUGCCAUAGGAGAUUCAGCAGAAAAAGGCCAAACAGAUGGUCCAGGAGGUUCUGGAGAAGAGUUAAAUGGGAGAGGAAAUAAUGGAGGAGUAUAGUAGAGCACCUUGAUACACUGUACAAGAAGGCAUCUUCUGAAUAUUCUGGUCCAUGGGUAUGUUUUGUUUUGAAUAAAUUAAUCUAAUUGUAUACAACAGUUAGGUCCAGUCAAACUAUUAACUCUUUUCUGACUGAACGAGAGGGAUUCCAUGGGUGGGGUUAUCUCAGGACAUCCCUACUCAGACUUUUCAGUGGUAGUGCCAUUUUUACAUUGAUCCAAUGUUAUCGUUCCAUUCAUUCAAAGUGAGAGAACAUUGUAACAUAACAUCACAAUUGACUG